UCCAAAGAGAAAACUAAUGGCUGCGUUCACACUGCUGCCGGAAGUGACCCAAUUCCGAUUUUUUUGUCAAAUCGGAUUUCUUUCUUGCGUGGUCGUUCACACUUCCAAAUAAAUGCGACUUGCAUGUGAUCUCCAGUGUGAACUGCAAACGACCUGAAAGUGUCCUGCAUCCGCAGUAGAGGGCGCAAUAACGUCACACAUAGAGAGCGUGCUCAGUGUUUUCCCAACCGCUGUAAAAACAGAAGUAGAGCUCAGUGUUUGCGGAAGUAAACAUGGAUGCUGACGGUGGAGCAUAACUUGCGGUUUUGAUGUUGUUGUCCAAUCGGAGCCAGAACAUUAACAACUUCAUCCUCAUUAUUGUUCCUCAUGGUUGUUUUUAUUCCCGUCUGCGUGUAUCAGGAGGCUAAAUAGUGACGUUUGUCCAGUAUCGAUGAUGUUCAGGACCAGGCCGUUAGGAUUCAUGUCCCAUUUGAAAAGAUCAGAUAUCCAAGUGAAAAAAAAAGACUUGUGUCAUUUAGACUGUCAUAGAAAGAUCAGAUAUAGGUCGCACUAAGCCAAACGACAACACAAAAACAUCGGAACUGGGUCACUUCUGGCUGGGGUCGCCACCUUUCAGAAAUCAGAAUAAGGGCCGCCCACCACGGCGCCGCCCAACUCUCAUGGGAAACGGCAGCGAUGAGCAGCAGUCGCUAAUCAUAAGGACUGGCGGCCCUCGGUGUAACCGUGGAUUUGCAGCGAACACAAGAUACCUGAAGAUUUGGGGUUAAACUAACUGG